rnacentral:rRNA from 1 species
UACCAGGGCGAGCUGACGCAGCGACGCCGCGUGAAGGAUGAAGGUCUUCGGAUUGUAAACUUCUGUUAAGUGGGAAGAAAGACUCUUUCUUAAUAGGAAAGAGGGAUGACUGUACCAUUAGAGAAAGCACCGGCUAACUUCGUGCCAGCAGCCGCGGUAAUACGAGGGGUGCAAGCGUUAUUCGGAAUCAUUGGGCGUAAAGGGUGUGUAGGCGGCAAUCUAAGUCAACUGUUAAAGACUCCGGCCUAACCGGAGGCCUGCGGUAGAUACUGGAUAGCUAGAGGAUGGAAGAGAGAAGUGGAAUUCUCGGAGUAGCGGUAAAAUGCGUGGAUCUCGAGAGGAACACCAAUGGCGAAGGCAGCUUCUUGGUCCAUUUCUGACGCUGAGACACGAAAGCGUGGGGAGCAAACAGGAUUAGAUACCCUGGUAGUCCACGCUGUAAACGAUGAUCACUAGACGUUAGUUCUGUUUUUACAGAGUUAGUGUCGUAGCUAACGCGAUAAGUGAUCCGCCUGGGGACUACGGUCGCAAGAUUAAAACUCAAAGGAAUUGACGGGGGUCCGCACAAGCGGUGGAACAUGUGGUUUAAUUCGACAAUACGCGAGGAACCUUACCUAGGCUUGACAUGCUUCUGACCGCUGUAGAAAUACAGUUUUUCGGGUUUCGGCUCGGACAGUUGCACAGGUGCUGCAUGGUUGUCGUCAGCUCGUGUCGUGAGAUGUUUGGUUAAGUCCUCUAACGAGCGCAACUCCUACUGUUAGUUGCUACUUUUUAAGGCACUCUAACGGAACUGCCUGGGAAACCAGGAGGAAGGUGGGAAUGACGUCAAAUUAUCAUGGUCCUUAUGCCUAGGGCUACACACAUGUUACAAUGGCCAGUACACGGGUUGCUACUCGCAAGAGCACGCUAAUCCCUUAAAGCUGGUCUAGUCGGAUGAGUCUGCACUCGACUCAUGAGUGAAUCGCUAGUAUCGCGCAUCAGCACGGCGCGUGAUACGUCUCGGCUUGUACACACCGCCGUCACACACGAGUUUUUUACCCGAGUCACCUAGCUAACUUGAGGGCGGGGCUUAGAUUGGAAAGAGAUGGGUGAGUCUUAACAAGGUAGUCUGUGAGGAGAA